CGUUUAUUGAGCAGUUCUGUUCACCAGCUAUGAUGAGUGAAACUCUGCAUGGAAAAAAAAAUACAUAUCCCAUAAACCCCUAAGGGACAGAGAUUUAUUGAAUAACAAAAUAAACCCUAGACCAGAAUAAGAUAUUCCUCACUGUGUAGCCUCUUCUUGGAAUUAAUUUUAAAGGUAUCUUUUUGUUUUUAAAGCAUCCUCUAUGCAAUUCAUUAAAGGAACACUUUAGUUUCAGGAAUACAAAUGUGCAUUCCUGACACAAUAGGUCUAAAUAUCUAUUUAGC